ACAGCAGCCGCCACGGGAACACGUAGGUGGCGAGCGUUGUCCGGAAUUAUUGGGCGUAAAGGGAGCGCAGGCGGACAUAUAAGUCCAUCUUAAAAGUGCGGGGCUCAACCCCGUGAGGGGAUGGAAACUGUAUGCCUUGAGUGCAGGAGAGGAAAGCGGAAUUCCCAGUGUAGCGGUGAAACGCGUAGAUAUUGGGAGGAACACCAGCGGCGAAGGCGGCUUUCUGGACUGCAACUGACGCUGAGGCUCGAAAGCCAGGGGAGCGAACGGGAUUAGAUACCCCCGUAGUCCCUGUCUCUUAUACC
rnacentral:rRNA from 1 species